AUUAAACGCUGGCGGCAUGCCUUACACAUGCAAGUCGAACGGCAGCACGGGGGCAACCCUGGUGGCGAGUGGCGGACGGGUGAGUAAUGCAUCGGAACGUAUCCUGGAGUGGGGGGAUAACGUAGCGAAAGUUACGCUAAUACCGCAUAUUCUGUGAGCAGGAAAGCAGGGGAUCGCAAGACCUUGCGCUCUGGGAGCGGCCGAUGUCGGAUUAGCUAGUUGGUGGGGUAAAGGCCUACCAAGGCGACGAUCCGUAGCGGGUCUGAGAGGAUGAUCCGCCACACUGGGACUGAGACACGGCCCAGACUCCUACGGGAGGCAGCAGUGGGGAAUUUUGGACAAUGGGCGCAAGCCUGAUCCAGCCAUGCCGCGUGAGUGAAGAAGGCC
rnacentral:rRNA from 1 species